AACCUCCGCAAUGUGAGAAAUCGCGACGGGGGGAUCCCAAGUGCCAUUCUUAACGGGAUGGCUUUUCAUUAGUGUAAAGAGCUUUUGGAAUAAGAGCUGGGCAAGACCGGUGCCAGCCGCCGCGGUAACACCGGCAGCUCUAGUGGUAACAAUUUUUAUUGGGCCUAAAGCGUCCGUAGCCGGUUUAAUAGGUCUCUGGUGAAAUCCUGUAGCUUAACUGUGGGAAUUGCUGGAGAUACUAUUAGACUUGAGACCGGGAGAGGUUAGAGGUACUCCCAGGGUAGAGGUGAAAUUCUGUAAUCCUGGGAGGACCGCCUGUUGCGAAGGCGUCUAACUGGAACGGUUCCGACGGUGAGGGACGAAAGUUAGGGGCGCGAACCGGAUUAGAUACCCGGGUAGUCCUAACUGUAAACGAUGCGGACUUGGUGUUGGGUGGCUUUGAGCUGCUCCAGUGCCGAAGGGAAGCUGUUAAGUCCGCCGCCUGGGAAGUACGGUCGCAAGACUGAAACUUAAAGGAAAU
rnacentral:rRNA from 1 species